rnacentral:rRNA from 1 species
UAACACAUGCAAGUCGAACGGUAACAGGAAGCAGCUUGCUGCUUCGCUGACGAGUGGCGGACGGGUGAGUAAUGUCUGGGAAACUGCCUGAUGGAGGGGGAUAACUACUGGAAACGGUAGCUAAUACCGCAUAACGUCGCAAGACCAAAGGGGGGGGACCUUCGGGCCUCUUGCCAUCGGAUGUGCCCAGAUGGGAUUAGCUUGUUGGUGGGGUAACGGCUCACCAAGGCGACGAUCCCUAGCUGGUCUGAGAGGAUGACCAGCCACACUGGAACUGAGACACGGUCCAGACUCCUACGGGAGGCAGCAGUGGGGAAUAUUGCACAAUGGGCGCAAGCCUGAUGCAGCCAUGCCGCGUGUAUGAAGAAGGCCUUCGGGUUGUAAAGUACUUUCAGCGGGGAGGAAGGGAGUAAAGUUAAUACCUUUGCUCAUUGACGUUACCCGCAGAA